UGCAACACUGAUGACCACUGGUGGCGUCUGAGUCAUGGAUGAUGAAUAGUACAUAUCUGGAACGCUGAGGUCCAA
ensembl:snoRNA small nucleolar RNA SNORD113/SNORD114 family